rnacentral:rRNA from 3 species
ACGUACGCUGGCGGCACGCCUAACACAUGCAAGUCGAACGAAGUAGCAAUACUUAGUGGCAGACGGGUGAGUAACAUGUAGGUAUCUGCCCUUUGGCCUGGAAUAACACGAGGAAACUUGUGCUAAUACCGGAUAAGUCUUUACGGAGAAAGCUUUAUGCACCAUUGGAUGAGCCUGCACUUGAUUAGUUUGUUGGUGGGGUAAUGGCCUACCAAGACUGUGAUCAAUAGCUGAUUUGAGAGGAUGAUCAGCCACAUUGGGACUGAGACACGGCCCAAACUCCUACGGGAGGCAGCAGUGGGGAAUCUUGCACAAUGGAGGAAACUCUGAUGCAGCGAUGCCGCGUGAGUGAAGAAGGCCCUUGGGUUGUAAAGCUCUUUCGUCGGGGAAGAAAAUGACUGUACCCGAAUAAGAAGGUCCGGCUAACUUCGUGCCAGCAGCCGCGGUAAUACGAAGGGACCUAGCGUAGUUCGGAAUUACUGGGCUUAAAGAGUUCGUAGGUGGUUGAAAAAGUUAGUGGUGAAAUCCCAGAGCUUAACUCUGGAACUGCCAUUAAAACUUUUCAGCUAGAGUAUGAUAGAGGAAAGCAGAAUUUCUAGUGUAGAGGUGAAAUUCGUAGAUAUUAGAAAGAAUACCAAUUGCGAAGGCAGCUUUCUGGAUCAUUACUGACACUGA